rnacentral:rRNA from 1 species
ACGGCUCAGUAACACGUAGCUAACCUACCCUUAAGUCAAGGAUAUCCUCGGGAAACUGAGGUUAAAACUCGAUAAGAGAUAUGCCCUGGAACGACUUAUCUCUCAAACUCGCGCUUAAGGAUGGGGCUGCGGCGGAUUAGGUAGUUGGCGGGGUAAUAGCCCACCAAGCCGAUGAUCCGUAAGGGCUCUUAGCGGAGAGGCCCUGAGAGGGAAUCUGAGACACUAUUCCCAGCCCUACGGGGUGCAGCAGUUAGGAAUCAUCUGCAAUGCGCGAAAGCGUGACAGUUUGAGCCAGAGUGCUUCUCAUUGAGAAGCUUUUGCCAAAUGUAAAAAGUUUGGCGAAUAAGGACUGGGUAAGACGAGUGCCAGCCGCCGCGGUAAUACUCGCGGUCCAAGUCGCAGCCAUCUUUAUUGGGUUUAAAAUAUCCGUAGCUUGCUUGAUAAGUUUCCUGUGAGAUCCGACUUCCCAAAAGUUGGGCGCGCGGGAAAUACUGUCGAGCUAGAGACUGGAAGACGUAAGAAGUACGUUCGAAGUAGUGGUAAAAUACUUUAAUCUCGAACGGACUCACAACAGCGAAGGCAUCUUACGAGGACAGUUCUGACAGUGAGGGAUGAAGGCUAGGGUCGCGAAAGGGAUUAGAUACCCCUGUAGUCCUAGCAGUAAACACUGCACACUAAACAUCAGUACCUCCUCGAGAGGUAUUGGUGCUGAAGGGAAACCGAAGAGUGUGCUACCUGGGAAGUAUAGUCGCAAGGCCGAAACUUAAAGGAAUUGGCGGGGGAGCAC